rnacentral:rRNA from 1 species
GAUGAACGCUGGCGGCGUGCUUAACACAUGCAAGUCGAACGGAAUGUUCCUGCUUUGGUGGCGUGCUCGAGUGGCGAACGGGUGAGUAACACGUGAGUAACCUGCCCUUAACUUUGGGAUAACUUCAGGAAACUGGGGCUAAUACCGGAUAGGAGUUCCUGCUGCAUGGCGGGCGAUUGAAAGUUUCGGCGGUUGGGGAUGUACGCGCGGCUUACCAGCUGCUUGGUGGGGUAGGGGCUUACCAGGGUUUCGACGGGUAGCCGGCCUGAGAGGGUGACCGGGCACAGUGGGACUGAGGAACGAGCAGGAGGGCUACGGGCGGAAGCGGUGGGGAAUAUUGCAAGAUGGGCGGAAGCAGGAUGCAGCAACGCCGCGUGCGGGAGGACGGCCUUCGGGGUGUAAACCGCUUUCGCCGGUGACGAAGCGUGAGUGACGGUAAUGGGUAAGAAAGCAACGGCUAACUACGUG